UUGAUAGUACCUAUCCUACAUGGAUAACAGUGGUAAUUCUAGAGCUAAUACAUGCUGAAAAUCCCGACUUCGGAAGGGACGUAUUUAUUAGAAUCAGAACCAAUGCCCUUCGGGGUUUCCUGGUGACUCAUGAUAACUCCACAGAUCGCAUGGCCUUGCGCCGGCGAUGGCUCAUUCAAAUUUCUUCCCUAUCAACUUUCGACGGUACGGUCUUGGCCUACCGUGGUUGUAACGGGUGACGGAGGGUUAGGGCUCGACCCCGGAGAGAGAGCCUGAGAAACGGCUAUCACAUCCAAGGAAGGCAGCAGGCGCGCAAAUUAUCCAAUCCCGACUCGGGGAGAUAGUGACAAUAAAUACCGAUACAGGGCUCUUUUGGGCCCUGUAAUUGGAAUGAGUACAAUUUAAACCUCUUAACGAGGAACAAUUGGAGGGCAAGUCUGGUGCCAGCAGCCGCGGUAAUUCCAGCUCCAAUAGCGUAUAUUAAAGUUGUUGUGGUUAAAAAGCUCGUAGUCGAACCUCGAGCCUGGCCGGCCGGUCCGCCUCACCGCGUGCACUGGUCUGGCCGGGCUCUUCCCUCUGCGGAACCGCAUGUCCUUCACUGGGCGUGUCGGGGAGGCAGGACUUUUACUUUGAAAAAAUUAGAGUGCUCAAGGCAGGCCAAUGCUCGAAUACAUUAGCAUGGAAUAAUAGAAUAGGACGUUGGUUCUAUUUUGUUGGUUUCUAGGACCGCCGUAAUGAUCAAUAGGGACGGUCGGGGGCAUCAGUAUUCAGCCGUCAGAGGUGAAAUUCUUGGACCGGCUGAAGACUAACUACUGCGAAAGCAUUUGCCAAGGACGUUUUCGCUGAUCAGGAACGAAAGUUAGGGGAUCGAAGACGAUCAGAUACCGUCGUAGUCUUAACCAUAAACUAUGCCGACUAGGGAUCGGGCGGCGUUCUUUCUAGACCCGCUCGGCACUAU
rnacentral:rRNA from 1 species